rnacentral:lncRNA from 1 species
GGCCCAACUCCUUCUGAUUCAUUUUCAAGAGUGAUUUCUGUCUCAGGACCCACAUCCUAUGCCAUUAAAAUUUGAUUCCGUCGCGUACGCCUUUCCAGUUUCUCAGCCAUAUCUAUAGCUAUGUGAAGCCCUGAUGGGAAUAGAAUUCGCUGAUUUUGUCCUUGAUUGU